AUUAAACGCUGGCGGCAUGCCUUACACAUGCAAGUCGAACGGUAACAGGUUAAGCUGACGAGUGGCGAACGGGUGAGUAAUAUAUCGGAACGUGCCCAGUCGUGGGGGAUAACGUAGCGAAAGCUACGCUAAUACCGCAUACGAUCUACGGAUGAAAGCGGGGGAUCGCAAGACCUCGCGCGAUUGGAGCGGCCGAUAUCAGAUUAGGUUGUUGGUGAGGUAAAAGCUCACCAAGCCUGCGAUCUGUAGCUGGUCUGAGAGGACGACCAGCCACACUGGAACUGAGACACGGUCCAGACUCCUACGGGAGGCAGCAGUGGGGAAUUUUGGACAAUGGACGCAAGUCUGAUCCAGCAAUGCCGCGUGCAGGACGAAGGCCUUCGGGUUGUAAACUGCUUUUGUACGGAACGAAACGGUGAGCUCUAAUACAGUUUGCUAAUGACGGUACCGUAAGAAUAAGCACCGGCUAACUACGUGCCAGCCGCCGCGAUAA
rnacentral:rRNA from 1 species